rnacentral:rRNA from 1 species
UGGGGGAUAUUGCACAAUGGGCGAAAGCCUGAUGCAGCGACGCCGCGUGGGGGAUGAAGGCCUUCGGGUUGUAAACUUCUUUUGCUCUGAACAAGGCGCACCAUGGGGUGUGUUGAGUGUAGGGGUUGAUUAGCGCCGGCUAACUACGUGCCAGCAGCCGCGGUAAUACGUAGGGCGCGAGCGUUGUCCGGAAUUAUUGGGCGUAAAGGGCUUGUAGGUGGCUGGUUGCGUCUGUCGUGAAAGCUCAUGGCUUAACUGUGGGUUUGCGGUGGGUACGGGCUGGCUUGGGUGCAGUAGGGGAGGCUGGAAUUCCUGGUGUAGCGGUGGAAUGCGCAGAUGUCAGGAAGAAUACCGGUGGCGAAGGCGGGUCUCUGGGCUGUUACUGACACUGAGGAGCGAAAGCAUGGGGAGCGAACAGG